AUAAUAUCCUAUUUUUUUCAGAGUAACAAAGCUCAGCCUUCUGUUCUCUCUACUUUACAAUCUACAACUUCUAGGAAUCCUGCCGAUCUCAUUCAACACUGUUGUUCUUCUACAACUAACAGUGAUGUUCGUGAUAUCGGCUUCUUCCAAGUUUGGCGUCAACUUUGAUCCGUUCCAUCGAAUUGAGAAGAUAAUCACAAGUUGUGUGAUAGAUUAUUCUGCGUAUGGGGGAGCUGAGGAGGAAAAAUUCCCUCAGAAAAAAGCCGGGGAGGAAAAAUCCCCUGAGAAGAAAAAAGAUUCUUUGAAAAAGAAAGAAUAAGUCCAUAGCUUUGCCGCAAAUUGAAAAUGUUUCAUCUCAAAGAAGUGGAUUCGACAUUCUUUUGACUUGGAAUGCAGUAUCUGACAGAAACGUUCUAUACAACAUAGAAAUCUUCUAUGAUGAUGAAAAACAUGGAGAGACUCACACUACAGA